GGGCGGGUGGCGAAAUUGGUAGACGCAUCAGACUCAAAAUCUGACGGCAGCGAUGUCAUGAGAGUUCGAUUCUCUCCCUGCCCA
rfam:Crinalium epipsammum PCC 9333, complete genome.